GAUGAACGCUGGCGGCGUGCUUAACACAUGCAAGUCGAACGGAAAGGCUCCUGCUUGCAGGGGUACUCGAGUGGCGAACGGGUGUGUAACACGUGGGUGUUCUCCCCUGCACUUCGGGAUAAGGCUGGGAAACUGGGUCUAAUACCGGAUAGGUCGAUGUUUUUGAUGCUAUUGUGGAAAGCUUUUUUGGUGUGGUAUGGGCUCGUGGGCUAUCAGCUUUUUGGUGGGGUAUUGGUCGACCAAGGCGUCGACAGAUAGCCGGCCCGAGAGAGUGUACGGCCACAUUGGGUCUGAGGUACGGCCCAGACGCCGAUGGGAGGGAGCAGUGGGGAACAUUGCACAAUAGGCGCAAGCCUGAAGCGGCGACGCUGGGUGGGGAAAGACUGCCUGUGAGUGGUGAACUCCUUUGGUUUAGUACGAGGCGGAAGUGACGGUACCUGGAGAAGAAGCCCCGGCUAACUACGUG
rnacentral:rRNA from 1 species